GACAGAGGGCUCAAACGUUGUUCGGAGUUACUGGGCAUAAAGCGCACGCAGGCGGCUUGCUAAGUCGGGUGUGAAAUCCCUUGGCUCAACCGAGGAACUGCAUUCGAUACUGGUAGGCUCGAGGACGGGAGGGGUAAGCGGAACUCCAGGUGGAACGGUGAAAUGUGUAGAUAUCUGGAGGAACACCGGUGGCGAAGGCGGCGAUCUGGGAAGAUACUGACGCUGAGGUGCGAAAGCGUGGGGAGCAAACAGG
rnacentral:rRNA from 1 species